rnacentral:piRNA from 1 species
UCCGUGACGCUGGGCAAGCUACUUCA